CUCCAGCCGUAAUGGUUUCUCUCUCUUCAUAUCUAUGCCUUUGAGGAUUUGUUGCUGUGAUCUCUAAUUCGCUUGGUGCAGAUCGGGAACUGCUUCUCCGGUGAAGGAGGCGAUACAAUUUUUAUAUUUAUCGCCGACCGAAGUAGCUCCCGCCUUGCAUCAACUGAAUCGGAGAUCGCAGUGAAUGCGGUUAGAUUUUCGUUUCUACUGAUCUAGGUCUUGAGCUGAUUGGAUUUUCAUGUUGCGUAGAUGAUAGAUCGUCUUCGUUCUAAUAGAUCUGGAUGACUUAUUAGAUCUGGAGUUUGUUAUUUGAUUGAUUUGAUCUGUUACUUUCUAUUUGAUCCAAUAGUUUCGUCUCAUGAUCUAUCUCUACAUGAUUUAUUACUUUGCUAAAUCUGCAUGAUAUAAAGGAGAUUUAUCAAUUUACUUCAUUGCAGUCAUUAUUUAACUAAAAAUGGAAAAUUUGGAGCAUGGCUAAACAAAAAGGUUGAUUCUUGUUGUUCUGUUUUAAUUGAUGCUUCUGAAUCUGAACUUUUCACCUAUUUGUUCCUUUUAUCUGUAGCUUCAUUUUAGUUAUGAUGUUUAUUGAACAAGAUGCAUUACUGUACUUGAAUCUUAGGAAGAUCCUUGAUAUAUUAUUCAUAUUGCUAGCUCCAAUUGACUAUGUGAAGGUUUCAAUGAUUUCAAUUGCAUACCAAUUAGGCAAUGUUUAAACAUUCUAUGCUUGCAAUUGAUCAUUUCUAAUUCAUUUCAACAUUAUAUUUCAUGAGAAUGGUCCAAGUUCUUCAGAUGAGAAAACAGUUUCAUUUCAACAUAAUAUUCAUACUUAACUGCUACUAACAAGAAUGCUGAAUAAGGAUUCUUCCAUCUCUGAAGUGAAGUUUUGUUGUCUUGCGAUAUGUAGCUUCUCUUCCUGCGUUUUUGCCUUGGUUUCGAUUGCAGGUUUCAGUUUCAACAGGUUGGUUUGACAAUUCUCAUCUAAACAACAUCCUUGAUUGUAGCUUUGAAGGUUGAUUUUCAUUACAAUGUUUUAUGUCCAGCCAUCAAUGGUCGAGAUCAAAUGUAAAUCAACGGCCAAGAUUAGAUGAUAAACGCCAAUACGAGAUCUAAUAAACAAUGAAUUGGGAGUGUAGUUAAUUUUUAGUUAUAAAACUGUUAACUGUAGUUAAAAUUACUUAUGUAAUUUCCUAUUUAAGUAAUAGGAUAGGUGUGUUGUAUACAAGGAAGUAAUUCACUCAUGUAUUGGAUUCUUCAUCUUCUAAAUCAAACCCUAGUUUUGUAUCAAUUUGCCCAUCUGGUUAUCAUGUAUUUUUGUUGAGAUUUCAAAGUUUAGAUUCUGUUCAUUAUUUACUACUCAAUGGCUUAUUUGAAAUAUAUAUUUAGAUUUUUGAAUGAUAUUUUGAUAAUUCAAAAACAGACAACUCUAUUAGUUAUUAGCAUUUAAUAGGUUAUAUCAAUACUAGUACUUAGUAUGUCUGUUUUUCUCACUUAACAUUGAGCAGGGGGGGCCGGGGAAGGCGGAGGUUCUAAGAGCAGUGUUCGAAUCCACAAUGAUUUUCGAAUACAAGAACUUUUAUUUGAUAACUGGAAGAGGGUAGAUGGGGCUGCCUUAACUGCAUUGAGUUUGGACAUUGGAAGUCUUUACUACUCCCCCUUUUGUAAGGUAUGUCAUUAAAAGCUGUUGCUACUUCUUGUGAUUUAUAUAACUUCAUAUUCUAUUAUAUGUUUUUGUGAC